rnacentral:lncRNA from 1 species
CAUCAUUCUGAAGUAAUUUAAUCACAAAAACUAAAAAUUUGGAAGCAAACAGAUAUUUUACUUAAUAGAAACCAUCUGCACUGUACAGUAGGCAAAUUGUAUAAAAAUGAAUAAAACUGUCUCUGGAGGCAAAUGACUCAGGCACCAGCUUAUAUAAUGAAGAUGUAUAUGUGCCUUUUAGCAUUUGCAUUGUCUAUUAGACUAGGUAAAUCGCAGCGCUGGUGUAAGCGAAACAGUUACAAAUUUUAUUACCAUCAUAUGACUGAUGACAAAUGCAGUGUGGGAAGCAAUGGAGGUGAGGCAGGGCUCCUUCCAGCCCCCAGACAGUGCUGUGCUGCGGAUGGGGCACAGUGAGUCCUGUAACGUCGGGCGCUGCUUUUUGGGUCAGCCGCUGGCCUGGGCUCCAGGUGAGGCACAGAAGGUGGGAUCACACCCGGGAGGUGGGCAGCAGGUGGACUGCUGUCUGCAUGAUGCUGCUACUGUGUGCCCCCACGACAAUGAGUUGUUGUUUCAGCAACCCCCCCACAGUGUCUGAAUUUGGAAGUUCUCUAAGAAAGAAGGAAAUACUUGGAAUCCAGGGGCUGCUCUUGGCCAGAAUGCAGUGGUUUUGUGAAUCCCAAAUUUCAAUUGGCACAAAGACGAAAUGGCCCCACAUACGAAAGACGAGCUAUUGAAAAGAAGCAAACUCACCAGAAAGCCAGGAUUAAAUUCUUGCAGGAGAUCAGCAGAGAUGAGAGUGCCAUAACUGCAGGACUGAGGGCAAGAGCCUUUCUGAAGACCACGUAUGAGUACUAUGCUCACACAGGUGCCUGAUCUCCCUGGAGCUGCUCCUUACUCUCUCCAUCUUACUGUGUGCUAUGAAGGCCUGAUGCUGCCAGGGACCACGCACCUUUUGGGAUGCUUGGCACUGAAAUGCCCAUGAAGCCCUUACUGUUAAUCAAGAGAGGGAGAUUAGAGGAGAUCAGAACUACCUACUACUAAAGAGCGCUUUGCAUUUGACUACACCUUUCUAUCAGCAUAUGUUUUUCUUCUGAUAUUUCUGCAGGGAGUUCUCCAGGUAAAGGAAGAGCUGCUUCAACUCAGAGACACAACGACCAAACCACUUGGCAGUGGGCACAAAAAACGGAGACUGAACACUAAGAAACUGAAUGCACAAGGUUCAAUUUUUGGGAUCCUCUCACAGCCUGGCAAGACUCCUGCAUUUUCAAAUGCUCACAUAGCUGCACUUGCUGCUUCACUGAAAAUAAUAGUACUGUGCUAAACAGCAUCAUCGUGGGAUCACUUAUGGGAUUUAGUUGUGUUUAAGGGGUGAAGGCGAGGAUACUGCAAAGUGAAAUCCUCCAGUGCAAAGAAAAUAAGGCAAUGAAGACCACUUCCAAACCAUUCAUCACAGAGCUUUUGCAUGGGCUUCAUAUGCUGCCGUUGUCACUCUGGAAUUGCUGGAUCAGCUUGAAAAAAAUGAAGCGUGUAGAGGUCCUCGUAACAGACAGAAAAGGAGGGGUUUGUGGGAUGAGGCGCAGGCAUGAAAGACACUGGUGGGAGACAAAAACGACAACUGGAUUACAGCUGCCUGCUGGGCAAAUUGCUGGCUGAAAGGACGUCGCUGCAUAUACAGAUGCCUCAGCAUCUACAGUCGCUGUAUGGAUUUCUCUUUCCAGAAGGCUGCUUACCCCAGCUUCCGUUCUGCACAGCUACAAAGGGAGCAGAAUGGCAAAAGGAGCACAGUCCCAUGCUCCCAAACACACCUCCUAAACACCCAUGGGCAGCAGCGCCAGGGAGCAUCAAGUUGUUCCCAGGAAGCAGUCAUGGCUCUGGGUUGUUAGUGACUGCUGCACGUUGGCUUGGUGGUCAUUUGGCAUUGGCGGCCCGUGGCACUGAGUGCCACAGCACUGCGCAGCUGAGUGUUGGAAGUCCCCACUGGCAAUAUCAUGCUCUCUGCUCCAUCUAUGGAGAUGGAUGAGUCCAAGUGGAUCAGCACGUCCUCAGGCACAAAAUCUUUGCAUGAGCAAUGCUAAGGAUGGAGGCUGAAAGAAGAUAGAAACACCCAUCUCUGUUUGAAAGGCAGAACUUCUAGUGAAGCCAAGCAAAAUCUCAUAACCCCAGGGAAACCCUAGAGCCUCCUUGCAGCUCAGCUGACAUCCAGAUAUUUAUGGGCCGUGUAAGAAGAUUCAGGCCACUUUAUCUGCAUCCGCUUUCCUAUUUCACCCUUUCUUUGUGGCUGCUCAGCUUUGAUGGCAAUAUGCUGUUAAACUGCCACUCACUCAGCCUUUUUUUGUGUGCCUCCUUGCCUGGCUUCCAGUCAGUGGUCUUUUCCAUAUCCUACUCCUAUUCCUCCUGCGGAACUGGGACCAUCUCAUGCUGUCCAAAUCCGAGCACUGGGCUGCUAAUAGACACCGCUGAUGUACAAUGGAAGAGCUUCUCCAUAACUCCCUAUCACUAAUCAGUGAGCAUGUUUGACAUCCCGGCAGUGCGGUGCUUCACAACAGCUAUCGAUAGUGCUUCCCCGUGCUGAAGGAAAAUGGGAACCUGCAACACUGGCAUUACAUCACAGGCAGUGGCUGGUUAUUGAUGUCAUCAUUCCUGUCACUUGCCUGAUAUAUACUGCCUGCAGUGACUUACCUCCGAUCUAUAGAGGCUGGCUCCUGGAGGUCUGCCUUCCAGUUAGCAGCGCCGGCGAGCAGCAGCACCUGUGUCUCCACGCCAGACAGCUGGCACGCUCCAUGCAUGCCACCGCGCACCAUCUGUGCCACACAUCACGUGCCAGUUACGUGACUGGGGAGAGUCAGGAGGAAGAAAAAUAUUUGCUUCCAUGAAUCCUCCUACUGAGUAAAGUUCUUGUAGCAGAAGUUUUCCAGUUCCUGAGGAUGCUGCUGACUGCCUUUCCUUUCUUGCUUAAGUCUCCACAGUGCUGAAAAUGAAGUCCAAGAUGUGUGUUCUGCACGUUUGCCAUUGCAACUCGAGGAGACAGAGCUCAGAUGAAGUUCCAGCUAGGCAAGAGACCAAAGUUCACCCUACCCACAGCACUGCAGAUUGCUGCACAGCCCCAUCUUUGUGCACUGGAGAAGCAAAGCACGCGAGGAGGGAGCGCGCUCCCAGCUGCCAGGGGCUGACAACCGAAAGGUGCAAUAUGGGACAAAGCAGAGCACAGAGAGUGAUGUGGGAACGUUAACACUUGUAAGCUAACAGAUGUGCAGGAAUGUCCUCGGCUCGCCAUCGCUUUUCUCUCCAGCAGAAUAUGACUGACAACAGAACACCAGGGAACAGCUGGGUCGAAACGCAUAAUAUUUUCCUGCUAGAGAAGGAUGCUGAUUAGGCUGCGGAGUACCUAAUUGGGUCUUGGCCUUGAAUGAUGGAAAACUAAAGCCAGGAGGAGCACACCAAUGAGCAGCACCAUGUUACCAGCAGAGGUUCGGUGGCUGGAGGAGCGGAACAUUAGCACAUCCCUAAGGCCAGGAAGUUCAUAUGAAGUUUCUGAACCUCCACUUCGGCCCUUAGGGAGAAACAGCCCGGAAAUAAGAUGCGGACAAUGGCAGUUCCAACCCAACCCAUGACCUCUGCCUUGAAACAUGGUGGGUCAGCCAGGAGGUGAGGAGGUGGGGUAAAGCAGAUGAGCUGGAUGAGGAAUACGGUGACAAACUAACUGGUGGGAAGAAGUUGCAGAACAGUGGAGAUCCCACCGCCAUUCAGCCAUGAUGGAGGACGUGUUUUCAGACACAGCCCACUCCUCCUGCCAAUUUGCUGGGGUUGCAGAAGAAAGAGGAGGAAGAGGAGAAGGAGGAGUGGCCAGUGGUGGUGGUUGCUCUGGCUGCAGCAGCUGUGGAGGCCCUGCUAAUACAGUAACUUCCUUAUCUCAGGAAACCCAAGUGGCUCCAACAAGAGAAACAGAGUAGGACAAUCCAGGAGAAGACAGCUGACUGCAGUGUUUACUAGACUGCGGAAUAGACAACUUACAUUGUUAAAAUUGAUCAGAACAUGUUCCACUGGAACUAAGCAGAUAAGAAUUACUUCAUUCUUUUUUGCCCCUGAGCACCCUAGGAGACCUGUGUUGGAUCUGGGCUUUGUCUGCUUGAAAAAGUGGAAGGGUUGACCUGCUGAAGGGAGAGCCACCAAAGCGCUCCAACAUUACUAUGGUCUUAUAAUGCCUGAGACAGAUCACAAGAUUAACUCUUAUAAUCAACAACAAGAUCAUCAAUUUGUACACUAUAUAAAUUAAAGUGCAUGCAUAUAAAUCUGCAACCUUGAAUAAUA